AGGUGGCACCAAAUGCCCACCAACCAAUGGGAGCCCUCCGCCAAGUGCCAAGGUAUCAUCCUCCGAUUCGCCUCUGCUCUCCGCCCCGCGUCCGCUUAAGCCGCACCAGCCCGCAGCCCGCCCACGGCAGCUCCUUUUAGCUGAGGAGCAAAGCUGCGCAGCGUGUUUGGACCCUGAUCGGCAAGUGGUCCUAGCAUCGGCUCAUCUUGCCAAAGGUCGCGUCCGCUUCGGUCGCUGGGUUCAUGGUCCUGGGGACUUAAAUACCUUGGCGAAAGGCUCCCGAAAAGGCAGACGACGGGUGUUGAGUCCGACCCACACGAGCGAAGGAUCGCUCGAGUUGCAGCGGCAGCGCUUCGCUCCCACCGGCAGCGGCAACCGCGGAUCAUCCGAGCAGCGGCAGCCGAACGCUUGUUAGCUGAGAGGGAGAGGAGAGAGUGAGCCUCGCUGGCCAUUAAAAGCGCAGAGAGCAUCCGCCAGAUCUCCCGAGAAAUAGCUUCGAGCAGAACGAGACCUCUUCCGAUGCCUGCCCAAUUAGCCCAGGAAGAGCUUCCCCUAGAUUUCUCCACCACCGCUGCCUUUGCUCACGUGGCCCAGAAUGGGGUGGCUAAGAUGGAGAAGGUCCAUCCCAUACAUGAGGACAUGGGGGCUCAGAGAGAGAUAGAUGACAUUUUUGAUGAGACCUAUCGUGAGAAAGAGGGCCCCAAGCCUGCCAAGAUAUACGUCUGGAGGAACAUCGUGCUCAUGGCCCUGCUCCACAUAUCUGCAGUGUACGCCAUAUGGCUCAUACCUGCAGCAAAACCUGUCACCUUGGUGUGGGUAAUUCUGUGCUUCAUCUUGAGUGGUCUAGGAAUCACAGCUGGAGCACACCGUCUUUGGAGUCACCGUUCUUACAAAGCCAGCUUGCCUCUUCGAAUAUUCUUAGUUAUUGUUAACUCCAUGUCUUUCCAGAAUGAUAUUUAUGAGUGGGCGAGAGAUCACCGUGUCCACCACAAAUUCUCCGAAACAGAUGCUGAUCCCCACAAUGCAAGUCGAGGCUUUUUCUUUUCUCAUAUUGGCUGGUUGUUGGUGCGCAAACACCCUGAUGUGAAAGAGAAAGGCCAGAAGCUGGAUCUCUCUGACCUGAAGGCUGACAAACUUGUGAUGUUCCAAAGAAGGUAUUAUAAGUCCUCUGUGGUGAUCAUGUGCUUCUUCCUACCUGCUUUUGUGCCUUGGUACUACUGGGGAGAAUCCUUUUACAAUAGCUUCUUACUGGCUGCAGUCCUCCGCUAUGCAGCAAUCCUCAAUGCCACCUGGCUGGUGAACAGUGCAGCUCAUAUGUAUGGCAACCGGCCAUAUGAUCAGCACAUCAACCCCAGAGAAAACCGCCUUGUCGUACUUGGAGCCUUAGGUGAAGGUUUCCACAACUACCACCAUACUUUCCCCUUUGAUUACUCCACCAGUGAAUUUGGUUGGCAGUGGAAUUUCACAACAGCUUUCAUUGAUCUUAUGUGCUACCUUGGCUUGGCCAGUGACCGCAAGAAAGUUGCCAAGGAGACCAUCUUGUCCCGGACAAUUCGGACUGGUGACGGUAGCUACAAGACUGGCUGAAGGUGGGUCUCUAAAUAAGGAUUCUGGGGCACCACUAACGGAGGAAGCUGAGGCAUUAGAACUGGAAGCACACACAGAUCCAGACAGCCCUCCAACAGGUGCAGAAGCACCUUCUACCAGAACACUGCAGACUAUUAUCAAGACCUACAGGCCAACUGAUGAGAAUACAGCUCUUCCUUUGUGAGAUUCCCAUCUUUUAAAUAGCAGGACUCCUGUGCCUUGUCAAGAUACCUACGAAAGGAUGCACUUAUGGGAAAGCUGCAUCUGCUACUCUGCUGUCUUGUCAUGCAGCUUUCAAAGACACAGAAGGUCUGUGAAGACAACAAAUGUCAGUGAGUC